AGAGUUUGAUCCUGGCUCAGAAUCAACGCUGGCGGCGUGCCUAACACAUGCAAGUCGCACGAGAAAGUGGAGCAAUCCAUGAGUAAAGUGGCGCACGGGUGAGUAACACGUGACUAACCUACCUUUUAGUGGGGGAUAGCCUAGGGAAACCUGGGCUAAUACCGCAUAACACUUACGAGUCAAAGCAGCAAUGCGCUGAAAGAGGGGGUCGCGGCCGAUUAGCUAGUUGGCGGGGUAAUGGCCCACCAAGGCAGUGAUCGGUAUCCGGCCUGAGAGGGCGCACGGACACACUGGAACUGAAACACGGUCCAGACUCCUACGGGAGGCAGCAGUGGGGAAUUUUGCGCAAUGGGGGAAACCCUGACGCAGCAACGCCGCGUGGAGGAUGAAGUCCCUUGGGACGUAAACUCCUUUCGAUCGGGACGAUAAUGACGGUACCGGAAGAAGAAGCCCCGGCUAACUUCGUGCCAGCAGCCGCGGUAAUACGAGGGGGGCAAGCGUUGUUCGGAAUUAUUGGGCGUAAAGGGUGCGUAGGUGGUUCGGCAAGUCUUGUGUGAAAUCUUCAGGCUCAACUUGAAGUCUGCACAAGAAACUGCCGGGCUUGAGUAUGGGAGAGGUGAGUGGAAUUUCCGGUGUAGCGGUGAAAUGCGUAGAUAUCGGAAGGAACACCUGUGGCGAAAGCGGCUCACUGGACCAUUACUGACACUGAGGCACGAAAGCUAGGGGAGCAAACAGGAUUAGAUACCCUGGUAGUCC
rnacentral:rRNA from 1 species